rnacentral:rRNA from 1 species
AUUGAACGCUGGCGGCAGGCCUAACACAUGCAAGUCGAACGGUAACAGGAAGAAGCUUGCUUCUUUGCUGACGAGUGGCGGACGGGUGAGUAAUGUCUGGGAAACUGCCUGAUGGAGGGGGAUAACUACUGGAAACGGUAGCUAAUACCGCAUAACGUCGCAAGACCAAAGAGGGGGACCUUCGGGCCUCUUGCCAUCGGAUGUGCCCAGAUGGGAUUAGCUAGUAGGUGGGGUAACGGCUCACCUAGGCGACGAUCCCUAGCUGGUCUGAGAGGAUGACCAGCCACACUGGAACUGAGACACGGUCCAGACUCCUACGGGAGGCAGCAGUGGGGAAUAUUGCACAAUGGGCGCAAGCCUGAUGCAGCCAUGCCGCGUGUAUGAAGAAGGCCUUCGGGUUGUAAAGUACUUUCAGCGGGGAGGAAGGGAGUAAAGUUAAUUCCUUUGCUCAUUGACGUUACCCGCAGAAGAAGCACCGGCUAACUCCGUG